rnacentral:rRNA from 1 species
GACGAACGCUGGCGGCGUGCUUAACACAUGCAAGUCGAACGGGAUUUAGUAAACAGAAGCCUCGGUGGAAGAUUACUAAUGAGAGUGGCGAACGGGUGAGUAACGCGUGAGCAACCUGCCUAUGACAGUGGGAUAGCCUCGGGAAACCGGGAUUAAUACCGCAUAAAAUCGUAGAAACACAUGUUUUAACGGUCAAAGAUUUAUCGGUCAUAGAUGGGCUCGCGUCUGAUUAGCUAGUUGGUGAGAUAACAGCCCACCAAGGCGACGAUCAGUAGCCGGUCUGAGAGGAUGAACGGCCACAUUGGAACUGAGACACGGUCCAAACUCCUACGGGAUGCAGCAGUGGGGAAUAUUGCACAAUGGGGGAAACCCUGAUGCAGCGACGCCGCGUGAACGAAGAAGGUAUUCGUAUCGUAAAGUUCUGUCCUAUGGGAAGAUAAUGACAGUACCAUAGAAGAAAGCUCCGGCUAAAUACGUG